AGUGAACGCUGGCGGUAGGCCUAACACAUGCAAGUCGAACGGCAGCACAGAGGAGCUUGCUCCUUGGGUGGCGAGUGGCGGACGGGUGAGGAAUACAUCGGAAUCUACUCUGUCGUGGGGGAUAACGUAGGGAAACUUACGCCAAUACCGCAUACGACCUACGGGUGAAAGCAGGGGAUCUUCGGACCUUGCGCGAUUGAAUGAGCCGAUGUCGGAUUAGCUAGUUGGCGGGGUAAAGGCCCACCAAGGCGACGAUCCGUAGCUGGUCUGAGAGGAUGAUCAGCCACACUGGAGCGGAGACUCGGUCCAGACUCCUACGGGAGGAAGCAGUGGGGAAUAUUGGACAAUGGGCGCAAGCCUGAUCCAGACAUACCGCGUGGGUGAAGAAGGCCUUCGGGUUGUAAGGCCCUUUUGUUGGGAAAGAAAUCCAGCUGGUUAAUACCCGGUUGGGAUGACGGUACCCAAAGAAUAAGCACCGGCUAACUUCGUGCCAGCCGCCGCCGUAA
rnacentral:rRNA from 1 species